GACGAACGCUGGCGGCGCGCUUAACACAUGCAAGUCGAGCGAGAACCAGGACUUCGGUCCUGGGGACAGCGGCGAACGGGUGAGUAACACGUGGAUAACCUGCCCUCGGCACCGGGAUAGCCCGGGGAAACUCGGAUUAAUACCGGAUAGCCCUUCCGACUCUCGAGUCGGUCCGAAAAGGUAGCUUCGGCCUCUGGCCGAGGAUGGGUCCGCGGCGGAUUAGCUUGUUGGUGGGGUAAUGGCCUACCAAGGCUU
rnacentral:rRNA from 1 species